rnacentral:tRNA from 1 species
GGUAGGAUGGCUGAAAAACUAGGCGGGGGGCUGUAAACCCCCACAUGAGGGCUAAAAAUUCCUCUGCUACCA